CACGUGCUUCAACUUCCUCUUGCCUAAAAUGCAAACGGUGAUAACCGUACCCCCAACAAUAAGGGUGGUUGUGAAUAUCAAACAAGUUAAUACAAGCCCCAGAGUUCAAGGUGACAGACCUGCAGUCUUCCCUGCUAAAGUCCUUGAAAAUGACAAAGGAAAAGGACUGUAGCUUCUUGUCACUCAAAGCAUGAUCCAGAUCCCACAGCACGGACGUCACCUUUGAACUUGGUAGAAAUGCAGAAGCUCAGACUCCUGUCCAGACGUAUGACUCAGAACCUGCAUUUUUAACUAGAUCCCAGGCCCAGUGGAAGUACGAAGGGACACGAAGGGGCACAUUCUUCUCUCCCGCCCCCGCCAUUCCCCAGUCCUCAUUCCAGCCAGCAGGACACGUGACAAGGCUCUGUGCAGGCUUCUUGGCCAUGGUUUCUGUUUCUCUUUGUCACAGUUGCCUGAACCCUUGUGGAAGUUAAUGCUGCAUCCCACGAUGAGAAAAUUGAGGCAUAGAGACGUUCAACAAUCUUCCCAAGGUCACACAGUCCGUAAGAGGAGCCGGCAUUUGAACCCAGACAAUCGAAAUCCAGAGUUCAAGCUCAUAACCAUUACACUCUUCUUAUAAAUAUGGAAAGCCAAAAAAAAAGUUUCAGAAAAAUUAUGUUUUAAAUUUUUAUUUAUUAUUUUUUAUUGAGGCGUAUCAGAAAAAUUAUUUAAAACAUUUCUAUGCAUGAAGGUCUUCAAAGUUAUUCCCGCCUGAAGUAAUCCUUUAACAUCUGGACAAAUAUCCAAGAGACAGUUGAACAUCCCAGAGGUGCUCAGUAGUUCUUUGGGCCAGGCAAUUUUUUUAGUGCAGGCUCACAGGGAGAGAAG
rnacentral:lncRNA from 1 species